UUCCUAGUAGCGUUUGGUUCUGUUUUCAGGAUCAGUUAUGAAUUGCGUUUGACCGACCCGGCCACCACAUAGGGUGGAUACUCGUAAAUGUUAACCGCAAAUUUUAGAUUUCGUGUUCCCAAGCCUUUAAGGCCACUGCCUGAAUUAUUUGCAAGUGAGGGGUUUGGAUUAAUACCAUAUGAUAAUGUCAGUUGUAUGAUAGCUAUUCUCUUCUGUUGUAUACUCUGGAGACUCAUUUGGUCCUGGGGCAUCUUGAGUAAGGAUGGAGAGUCCCUCAGGCAGCAGAGAAAUUAUGACUACAUGAGUGGCAUAUACCUCAUUCUCAAUUUCUACAACAGUAUCAAACACCAACUAGAAAGGUAUGAGGAGCAACUCAAGUGUGCCUUCCAGCAAGACUCGUCAGGUUCUGAUUGGUCUUCGUCGUGUAACGAGCAGUCAGUGCCAGGAUGUAGCAGCCGACCCAGCUCACACAGCAGCGGUGAUAGCACACACUCAAGAAGUAGGAGACACAGCCCUCAGCAUCUACACCGUCUACGAAGAACCACCAGUAGGACGAGCUUUCACGAAGCCAGCCCUUACCCUUUUCCAAAAGAAUUAAGCGUUUCUCCCAUGCCAUUGCCCUUGGAGCAUCUACAUUGUAGCCAGUCAACUCACUCAUAUGAGAAGCCAUAUUACUUAGCACCAAGAAUAUCACCUCCGGAUGCAGUAUCUGGCAAAAAUGAGACGACCGAGAGGCCUGUAGUUCCCAUUGCACCAUGUCAAGCUGAGACUGUAGCCAGGCGAGACACUUCAACCUGCCACGAAGUCAGACUCCCGAGAAAAUCUCCCCGCAGGCUUUGGCAGUUUGCCAUUUUAAUUGUUCAGAUAAUGGUGAUGCUGCUUCCUGCAAGGCUGAGAUAUGCCCAGAAAGUAUCCAUAGUGAAGACCACAACAAAGGUACUAAAAGUAGCCUCCAUUCUUGCAUCUGCUGGCCCCCCGGUGACCAUCAAGCCAACCUCUCAAAUGGCCAAAGUAUCCUUAAACUCACAGGUGUUCUUACAGAAGCUGGAACUUCACUUGCGCUGUAAGCUGAGCGAACAACUUUGGGGUUUUCCCAAGCUGGUUAUCAAGUAUGCUGGCGAGCAAGUUGUCCAUCUGCGAUUGUCCGGGAGAUCAGGCGACAGGAGAGCCACGCAAGGUGAGGGUAAGGCUGAAGUCAGCAAGCUGCAGCCUGGUGAUCGGCUGAAGAAGUUACAUCACAGGUAUCCAAUGGCCCUCGAUGACCUUGAUGUGCCCAACACCAGUCUAAUCAUCCAGCAGGCGGAGCACUCAGAGAUCCUUAGGAACCCUGAAGCCCCAUACAGAGCUCGACAGGAUGAUCAUCUGGGAAUAAAAAUUCACACAAAAAAGGAAUGUAACCUGGGUAUGCGGCUGGAAACGAAACGAGAUAUGAAACAAUUGGAGGCACAAAUCAGGAGAAGACAUAGGCUGGCCAAUCGUCACACCUUCCACAGCCGGUCACGUCACCCUCACAUCUUGACCAUCUCUGCCAUCGUCUCGACACAGACAACUCAGCCUGACUCAGAGAAGAAAGGGCCCCCUCUUAAAGGAAGACAAGCCAUUAUGUUUAUGAACCAGUUCAGCCUGAUUCAGAUUGAACAGAACUUGACCCUGAAACGUGAGAACCACCUUCAGGGGAAGCAGACUCCCUACACCCUUUCUCUGGAGGAGAUGGCUGCCACCUCAACCCAAGAUCAUUUCUGUGUCCAGAAUGAGAACGAGGGAAGAACAUCUGGUUCCUGGUUCUCGAGGACACCACCAUGAAAAAGCCUGUCUUCUGCAUACCCCACUUACCUCCCCACACCAAGUGCU
ensembl:lncRNA